CAAAAGUCGUACACUGGUAUCUUCGCCAGCAAUUAAAAGAGAAUACAACCCCAUAGUUUCAAAAGUGGGCUUCCAUAAAAUUUGGUUAAUUGACUCCAUAGGAGCCAUGUGGUCUGGUAAACGUGUUGGGUACCAUUUGGUAAGAUUCUCUCUCGGGCAUCUCCAAAUAAAUAUUUUACCAGCUUCAGUUCCUACCGCAAGCAAGAGUUCAUCGUUGUGAAAGAACGGAGCAAAGUCAACAGCGGUAACAGCAUCAGAAAAUUGGAGAGCA